GAGUUUACGAUCCCCCAUGCUUUUUUCAAAGUUGCUGAGGGGCGGGAAUCUUCGUUGCGGGAAGAAGAAAAGGCAAAUCCGGCCUGGAAGCGGGGGGCCCUGAGCUGAGAGCCAGAGAAGGGCCAUUUCCCUUCCCCUGGACCUCGGAAUCGCCCAGCUAUCUAUCCCUGGCUCCUGGAGAAACUUGAGGGAGGGCCCUUGACCCCCGAAUCGGUUUUUCCUGCCUUCCCCAUUGGACCAAUGAUGCCCUUCUUUCUCCCCUUAUCGAGACUUGGGCAAUCAGGGCCCUGGGGUGAGACAGCCAAGCUGCCUGGCCCAUCUUCCAAGUAAGCACCCCGCGCUCCUAGCCUGGGGGCUACAGGAAAUGCUUGUCUGCCAUAUGGCAAGAGGCAAAGAAAAGCGUUAAGUUCAAGAUGUACAGCCUGCCCUCCCAGGCCUUUCCUUCUGCAAGCAUCUACGGCUUAGCGCUAAAACAGGCAAUUCCAAAGGUGAAAACGCAGCCAACUGGCUCACGGCAAAGAGUGGUCGGAAGAAGCGCUGCCCCUACACGAAGCACCAGACACUGGAGCUGGAGAAGGAGUUUCUGUUCAACAUGUACCUUACUCGAGAGCGGCGCCUAGAGAUUAGCCGCAGCGUCCACCUCACGGACAGACAAGUGAAAAUCUGGUUUCAGAACCGCAGGAUGAAACUGAAGAAAAUGAAUCGAGAAAACCGGAUCCGGGAGCUCACAGCCAACUUUAAUUUUUCCUGAUGAAUCUCCAGGCGACGCGGUUUUUUCACUUCCCGAGCGCUGGUCCCCUCCCUCUGUCUUCAGCCUCUGCCCAGGAACUCGCACCUGUGCUGGAGCCCUGUUCCUCCCUCCCACACUCGCCAUCUCCUGGGCCGUUACAUCUGUGCAGGGCUGGUUUGUUCUGACUUUUUGUUUCUUUGUGUUUGCUUGGUGCUGGUUUAUUUGUUGUUUUCUGGGGGAAAAAGCCAUAUCGUGCUAAAAUUCUAUAGAGAUAGAUAUUGUCCUAAGUGUCAAGUCGUGACUGGGCUGGGUUUGCUGUCUUGGGGUCCCACUGCUCGAAAUGGCCCCUGUCUUCGGCCGAGCUGGUUUCCUGCCCAGCCUGGGGCAAACCUAGCCGGAAGGCCGAGGUCCCAUUGUUGGCGCUGAGGUGUCUGGCCUGAGGUCAAUGGUGCAAAGG
rnacentral:sRNA from 1 species